AUUAUGGAGAGUUUGAUCCUGGCUCAGAGUGAACGCUGGCGGCGUGCUUAACACAUGCAAGUCGAACGGUAACAGGAAGUAGCUUGCUACUUUGCUGACGAGUGGCGCACGGGUGAGUAAACUAUAGUUAAUGUGCCUCGAAGACUGGGAUAGCCACUGGAAACGGUGAUUAAUACUAGAUACACCUCUUUAGCUCAAGCUAGAGAGGGAAACGUUUUUUCGCUUCGAGAUCAGACUAUAUCCUAUCAGUUAGUUGGUGAGGUAAUGGCUCACCAAGGCAAUGACGGGUAGCGGUUCUGAGAGGAUGAUCCGCCACACUGGUACUGAGACACGGACCAGACUCCUACGGGAGGCAGCAGUGAGGAAUAUUGCACAAUGGGGGGAACCCUGAUGCAGCAACGCCGCGUGGAGGAUGACGCAUUUCGGUGUGUAAACUCCUUUUAUAUGUCAAGAAAAUGACGGUAGCAUAUGAAUAAGCACCGGCUAACUCCGUGCCAG
rnacentral:rRNA from 1 species